rnacentral:rRNA from 1 species
GAUGAACGCUGGCGGCGUGCCUAAUACAUGCAAGUCGAGCGAACAGACGAGGAGCUUGCUCCUCUGACGUUAGCGGCGGACGGGUGAGUAACACGUGGAUAACCUACCUAUAAGACUGGGAUAACUUCGGGAAACCGGAGCUAACACCGGAUAAUAUAUUGAACCGCAUGGUUCAAUAGUGAAAGACGGUUUUGCUGUCACUUAUAGAUGGAUCCGCGCCGCAUUAGCUAGUUGGUAAGGUAACGGCUUACCAAGGCAACGAUGCGUAGCCGACCUGAGAGGGUGAUCGGCCACACGGGAACUGAGACACGGUCCAGACUCCUACGGGAGGCAGCAGUAGGGAAUCUUCCGCAAUGGGCGAAAGCCUGACGGAGCAACGCCGCGUGAGUGAUGAAGGUCUUCGGAUCGUAAAACUCUGUUAUUAGGGAAGAACAAAUGUGUAAGUAACUAUGCACGUCUUGACGGUACCUAAUCAGAAAGCCACGGCUAACUACGUG